CGAUCUUCAUCUCUCAAUUCUCAUAUCACCAGUUUCUUAAUGAAAAGUUGUCAUAUACGUCUAAAUCAUAGAUCAAUUCCCUUCAAAACUAAAGAUAAAUGGGAUGCAAAUAUUUACCUUAACAAAAAAUAUCAAUGGUAGAGAAUUUAAGAGAUACAUAAGAAGUGAGUAACAGAGCGCCAGAAACAGUAUUAGAGAUCCUGAAACCGUGAAAGUAUUAAUUAAAUGAGAGUAACAUGGUUUACGUAAACCAGAAUCGUUAGAUUUAAUUGAUGUAAACCGAGUCAAAGUCUCUACAUAAAGCAGAGUCUUGGAACAUCAACUAUCCUGUGUUUUAUCUGUGGACAACCAAAAUAAGUCGGUUUGACAAAUUAGGGAUCAAAAAUCAAACUAGUAAAGGCCCAUUGGAAAACGGGAACAAGAGUUUCGUUGGAUAAAUAGAAUAGUAGCCUAGGGUUCUUCGGUUGUCACGAGGAUUUUCCGUUUCCUUGUAUUUCAAGCUAGCGUUAGACCUCCACAAGUCGUUCGUUGUUCUCCGCUUCUUAUUUCAAACCCUAAGUACUCAUUCGCGUUACCCACUCCUCUUCUUUUCCUUGAACCUCAAGGUUUUAAAGAGAAAGACUUUGUUGCAUAAUGACACCAACACAUGAUUUGUACCGCAGCUUGCCAUAUUGAACUGAGACCAACAGAAAACAUUUGACGUUUAUGAACAGAGACUAUAAUGACCUUUCUGUGAUAGCCUCUUCAUAGUAUUCAUGUGACAGCCUCUUCAUAUGAUCCAUGAUUGCAUUGCAGGCCUGGACCCUUUUUAACCCCCAAAAAUAUUAAUCACCCACUUGAAAACCAAGCUAGGUUCUGGAUGUUUACUCCACCACCAAAUCGUUAAGUUUCUCAUUUGUUGGAAGAAUUGGAAUGAGAAGAAACGAGUUUAUAUGUGACAUAUGGUCUUUCUCUUCCAACAAUGCCACACCGCAAAAUAGCAAAUCAUACACAGAUUGGAAAAAAACAAUUUCUUUAUACCCUCUUCCACAGAUUUAUACUUGAACCGUCACCGCUUGGAAAACUUGAUCUUUUUGUUUUUCAUUGGAAUAAACCAAAUCGGUCUGCAACAACCGCUCAUUCACCAUUAAAAUCUGUUCAUACACACACAGCUUGUUGUCCAUGUCCAAAAGAACACACAAAAACAUAAUUCUCAAAUUCGUCAAAGACAAAUUUCAACUUUUUUCCAAAACUAUGAAAAUCAAAUAAAUAACUUAGGAAUGUCGAUUUGAGAUACCAAGAUACACUACAAAAAAUAUGAGUAUUGAUAACACAUUAGCAUAGCUCAAUUUUCGUAACUAACUGCUAUUAAAAAAAUAUGUUGGAUAUGACCCCUGUUCUAAAAAUCCCCGCCUAGCCCCGAUUACUCCCCGUUUAAUCGCUAGGUCCACCCUCUCCGCCUCGAUUAAUGACUAAUCCCCUAAAAAAUCAGUAACCCGAUUAUUCUCCGUCUAAUCCGAUUAUUUCCCGCCUAAUCCGAUUAUUUCCCGCCUAAUCUUACAUACCCCGAUUAUUUUUUAGAUUACAAGUAUAAAAAAAAACAUUUUAUUUUUGUUAUUCAAUCAUUUGAAUUGGGAGUUUGUGAUGUUUUACAUAACUUGUGUUCAAAUUUUAAUAAAAAUCAUAAAAAUUUGUUUUUACUGUAAUUUUGAAAACAAUAUUGAAUUAAUAUAUUUUAAAAAUAUUAAAAUAACCCUAAAACUAAUCCCCGAUUAAUCCCCGAUUUUAAUCCGAUUUUCCGAUUAAUCGCUAGGCCCAUGCCGAACGCCCGACUAGCGCCUAGCGAUUUUUCAAACAAGGGAUAUGACUAUCAUUUGAUAGCAUUUAAAAAAUGCUAAGAAGGGAAAUGAUUAAGUGGGAAACAAAAAUUUACUUGGGAACCUAAAAUUAUUCGGUGCCAACAACACUUAGCUAAAUAUAUUACACUUAGCCACCGAAUUAAAUUAUAAAAGAUAUUAAAAAACAAAAAACUGUUUAUAGAGAACAAAUAAUUGUCUCGCUCUCUCACCUUCAACCUUAAAUCCCCUUUCUCCAUCUCCAAGUAGACGGCAAACUAAAAUCCCAAAUUUAUCGAUAGCAAGCCCAUACUUUAAAGCUUCUCUUCUCCUCGCUAUCUUCUCCAAGCUGUUCUUCCCGAAGCUUUUGUUCUGAUUUCUCCAAGCUUCAUGACCAUGGAAUUCAACCUGCAAAACCAAAUCAAGACCUGAAAACCUUAGAUCUACAUAUCUCUUCUUGUCGUCGUGUUCCUUAGUAAGUCUUCCUCGUUCUUCUUCUGUUUUAUAUAUUUAGGUUUACAUCAUCAAAUUGUUUAGUUUCACACUUCACCGUGAGCGGCGAGAGAGAACGCUGGUAAAAAAACUUCAUAUCGGAAAAUUAGACAAACCCUAAAUCGACGAAAACGAGGGAUCUUUGGAAUAGAAGCCUAAUUUGUUCAUAUGAUGAAGAAUCGAUGGUCUAAUUUUCACCAGGUUUUCAUCUUUCUUUAAUCUUAGGACAUCUUUAUUGUGACCCUCAAGUUGUCCAAUUCAAGUUCAUCUCUGUCUUUGCAGAUUGGGUACUCGUUGUCUUUGCAAAUAGGAAGAAACUCUUUCUUAGCUGCUUCCACUGUUUACAUUUCAACCGAAUUCAGCUUCUUAAAUACUUCUCUUUCCAAUCAAAGAAGCUUCUGUUUUGCAGCAGGAGGUAAUGGCUUAAUUUGGUUUUGUGAUAAUUCCAAUUGUUCUUGCAUAUAUACAUGAAUUGGUUUAGAGAUUGUAACGAAAACUAUGUAUGAGCUUUUGCUUGGUGGUAGUGGAUAUUUGUUUAUGUAGAGAAAUGAUAAUCAAAUUACUUUUCUGAUAAUCAAAUAAUUUGUUUGAGGAGUUUUGCUGACCAUGUAAUUUGAAGUUUAGAUCGAUCAGCUUUGUAGUGUUGAAGUCGGAGGCCGAGUUCAACAGUGCACUGAGCAAAGCUAGAGGUAAAUAAACAAUCUCUUGUGUUUACUUUGUUAACUACUUCAGAAUUAUAUGAGUUGCUUAGUAUGAUCAGCUCUUCUUUAUCUUCUCUUGAUGUUAUCCAUGUUUCAGAUGGAUCUUUGCCAUCAGUUUUAUAUUUUACUGAUGCUUGGUGUGGACCUUGUAAGUGUUAUUUCCUUGAGAGUGGCUUUAUUAAUUUGUGUAGUAGUGAUUGACUUUAGGAAGACUUAAUCUCUCUUGUGAUAUUGGAGCUCAGUAAUAAAUAUGCUGAUGUGACAACGUAUUUGACAUUGAGGAGGUAUGUUUGCAUUUAGAUAAGGUCGACUUGUAGUGAAUUUAAUAUUGAAAGGUAUAGUAUUUUUUAAAGAAUCUCCACUAAUGUGGUAAUCCUUGCCUUUUUUUAAUUCUGUCUCAGGUGCAAAGUAUAAUCUUCACUGAGAAGUCAUGUGGUUCUUUGUUGAGACUAGACUGCAAGAAGAAGAUUAGACAAGAGUAUGAGAAGAAGAGGAGAAGCAGAUCGAUCUUAGAAGGAAGAUGCGAGCUCAUUUUACUUGUGGCACUUGUUGUCUUAAUGUUAGUUAAGACUUGUAGUAUAUGUUAAGGAUUGAGGUUUAUAUAUAAUAUAUAUACUAAAUUUUGUGCAAAAAUAGGUUCCUUGCAAAUGUGUAACAAACUAUUUCAAACCAAUAGGUCUUAUAUAGCAACACAGAAUAGAGCUACUAAACAAUAUACAUUAUGAUCCAUAAAAAGAGCUGCGGAACAAUAGUUCAAUAACCCAUAAAAAGAGCUACAAAAUAAAUGGUAUAACAUAAGUUUUGUGCUGCAAGAAAGGAAACCUUAGCAUUUAUUCUACGCUAUGAUGUGUGAACAUAUAAUAGCAGAACAAAAAAGCGCUAUCAUAAGGCCACUCUAAGAUAGCUCCGGCAAACACAGCGUUUAUGAAUCCGCUAUAUAAACGAUAUCAUAGCGUUUUCCGUGUGUUAAGAAUGCCCAUAUUUCUUGUAGUGAUAGGGAUAAAGAAACAUAAGAUUGAGACCGUAAGUGUGAUAUAUACCAUAUUUGUCAUGCAGAUCCCAAAUUUUCUGAAAACGGCUUCAGGUUUUUCGAUCUUCAUCUCUCAAUUCUUAUAUCACCAGUUUCUUAAUGAAAAGUUGUCAUAUACGUCUAAAUCAUAGAUCAAUUCCCUUCAAAACUAAAGAUAAAUGGGAUGCAAAUAUUUACCUCAACAAAAAAUAUCAAUGGUAGAGAAUUUAAGAGAUACAUAAGAAGUGAGUAACAGAGCGCCAGAAACAGUAUUAGAGAUCCUGAAACCGUGAAAGU
rnacentral:lncRNA from 1 species